AUUGAACGCUGGCGGCAUGCCUUACACAUGCAAGUCGAACGGCAGCACGGGAGCAAUCCUGGUGGCGAGUGGCGAACGGGUGAGUAAUAUAUCGGAACGUGCCCGGUCGUGGGGGAUAGCGUAGCGAAAGCUACGCUAAUACCGCAUACGAUCUACGGAUGAAAGCGGGGGAUCGCAAGACCUCGCGCGAUUGGAGCGGCCGAUAUCAGAUUAGGUAGUUGGUGAGGUAAAGGCUCACCAAGCCGACGAUCUGUAGCUGGUCUGAGAGGACGACCAGCCACACUGGGACUGACGACACGGGCCCAGACUCCUACGGGAGGCAGCA
rnacentral:rRNA from 1 species